AGACUUGGUCGUAGAGCCACGACCAACUUAAUCAAAAAAACGCUCACUGAGA
rnacentral:ncRNA from 1 species